rnacentral:rRNA from 1 species
UGAGCAACCUACCGAAUUGUGGGGGAUAGCCCGGCCCAACGGCCGGGUAAUACCGCAUACGCUCGAGACGAGGCAUUUCGACUCGAGGAAAUUUACGGAGCAAUUCGAGGGGCUCGCGGCCUAUCAGCUAGUUGGUGAGAUAACGGCUCACCAAGGCGACGACGGGUAGCUGGUCUGAGAGGAUGGCCAGCCACAGUUGGGACUGAGAUACCGGCCCAGACCUCCGUACGGGAG